UACGUAGGGGGCAAGCGUUGUCCGGAAUUAUUGGGCGUAAAGCGCACGUAGGCGGCUUUCUAAGUCGGGGGUGAAAUCCUGGAGCUCAACUCCAGAACUGCCUUCGAUACUGGAGAGCUCGAGUCCGGGAGAGGUGGGUGGAACUGCGAGUGUAGAGGUGAAAUUCGUAGAUAUUCGCAAGAACACCAGUGGCGAAGGCGGCUCACUGGCCCGGUACUGACGCUGAGGUGCGAAAGCGUGGGGAGCAAACAGG
rnacentral:rRNA from 1 species